GAGGAAGGAGGAGGAGGAGGAAAAACAAAAGGGGAAGAGAAGGAGGAAUCAAGAGGAUUAUUUCCCUUGGCUGUUUAAUUAUCGUCGAGGUUACGAUUCUCGAGACCUCGGUUUCAAACGCUUAAAAGCGCAAUCUUCGAGAAUGAAUUAAAGUUGAAUCAAAGUUAUCCCCCCCUCUGUUGUUUUCGUUUAUUUAUUUAUGCGAUUAGCAAACGAGGACGUGACUCGCCGGUUAUCGAGAGAGAUUCAUUACAAAUUGAAAUCGAUUCGAGUUUACUGGCUUCGACUUGGCCGAGCUUCGUUGGGCCGAGGAUCGAAAGGGUUUGAAGAUGAGUCUGAACGAGUCGU